CGAAAGCCUGACGGAGCAAGACCGCGUGAGGGAGGAAGGCCUGUGGGUUGUAAACCUCUUUUCUCAGGGAAGAAGAUCUGACGGUACCUGAGGAAUCAGCAUCGGCUAACUCCGUGCCAGCAGCCGCGGUAAUACGGAGGAUGCAAGCGUUAUCCGGAAUUAUUGGGCGUAAAGCGUCCGCAGGUGGCUGUUCAAGUCUGCUGUCAAAGUCCAGGGCUUAACUCUGGGAAGGCAGUGGAAACUGGAUAGCUAGAGUACGGUAGGGGUAGCGGGAAUUCCCAGUGUAGCGGUGAAAUGCGUAGAUAUUGGGAGGAACACCAGCGGCGAAGGCGCGCUACUGGGCCUGUACUGACACUGAGGGACGAAAGCUAGGGGAGCG
rnacentral:rRNA from 1 species